rnacentral:rRNA from 1 species
CACGUAGGGUGCGAGCGUUGUCCGGAAUUAUUGGGCGUAAAGAGCUCGUAGGCGGUUCGUCGCGUCGGCUGUGAAAUCCCGAGGCUCAACCUCGGGUCUGCAGUCGAUACGGGCGGACUGGAGUACUGCAGGGGAGACUGGAAUUCCUGGUGUAGCGGUGAAAUGCGCAGAUAUCAGGAGGAACACCGGUGGCGAAGGCGGGUCUCUGGGCCGUAACUGACGCUGAGGAGCGAAAGCGUGGGGAGCGAACAGG